rnacentral:lncRNA from 1 species
AUCCUAUUCCAAGUAGGAAUUCCAGUCCUACUCCAACUAGGAUUCCCAGUCCUAAUCCAAUUAGGACUCUAGGAAUCCUACCCGAAGUAGGAUUUGUGUUUAAGUCCAAUUAAUUAAUUUCCUUUGUUCCUUCUUCAACUUCUUAUCAAUCAAAUUGAUUACUUGUGAUUCCUAAUCACGAUUUCAACCAUCGGAUCGGUCAAUACUUCUAGUGUGUGUGACCCCAUAGGUUCUAUUCUGACUGGUAGUGAGAUAUAUUGAUCUCUAUCACUAUAUCAUUGAAAACUCCUUUCAAUGGGUUGGAACGAUUCCAACUCAACUCAUUAGGGUUUAUCGAUCAUCGAGAUAAUCCCUAUAAGUCCCACCAUCCACCAGUGACACCUAGCAGCAUGUAGUGGCUACCCAGCAGAAUGGAAUGAUGAACCUC